rnacentral:rRNA from 1 species
CCUACGGGUGGCAGCAGUGGGGGAUAUUGCACAAUGGGGGGAACCCUGAUGCAGCGACGCCGCGUGGGUGAAGGAGUAUUUCGGUAUGUAAAGCCCUAUCGGCAGGGAAGAAUUUAGACGGUACCUGACUAAGAAGCCCCGGCUAACUACGUGCCAGCAGCCGCGGUAAUACGUAGGGGGCAAGCGUUAUCCGGAUUCACUGGGUGUAAAGGGAGCGUAGACGGCCAGGCAAGCCUGGAGUGAAAGCCCGGGGCCCAACCCCGGGACUGCUCUGGGAACUGUCCGGCUGGAGUGCGGGAGGGGCAGGCGGAAUUCCUGGUGUAGCGGUGAAAUGCGUAGAUAUCAGGAGGAACACCGGCGGCGAAGGCGGCUUACUGGACUGUAACUGACGUUGAGGCUCGAAAGCGUGGGGAGCAAACAGGAUUAGAUACCCUUGUAGUC